CCCUCCCCCAGUACAGGGGAUUAAACCCAGGAUCUUUACACUGAGCUACAUCCCCACCCCUUUUUACUUUUUCUUUUGAAACAGGGACUCACUAAUUUGCCCAAGCUGGGCUCAAAAUUUGAUCCUCCUGCCUCAGCCUCAGAGUAGCUGGGAUUACAGGCGUUGCACCACCAUCCUGGCUCCUGCCUUACUCUUUGAAUGGGCUGGAUGAAGACCCACAGACCCAGUUUCAAGGCCAGGCUCGGAAGACGCCCGCCUUCUGCCCCGGGGGCAGUGGAUAUACUGACCCUCCUCUCUCGGGCCGGGACUGCGGCUGCUCCUGGCUCCUCCGGCUGCCACAAGUUUACUUUGGAUCCGAGUCUCGCAAGUCUUCGAUUUUCGAAUCAGUCCACAAAGGCCAGGCCUGCGACCCCUGCGACUCUGCUGCCUCUGCUGGAUCCAGAUACCCAGAAUGGCUUCCUGGUGCUACUGCCUCCUCCACCUCCUGACCUGGAGUCUCUCUGGCACCUCCUCUGACUCCCCAAAUGAAUCAAGGAACCCUUGGGCCACAGACCCCGCGGUCCCUGGCGAGGUGGUGGAGACCACCGACAGUGUUUGCAAGUUCCCCGGGCAGCAGCUUAGCUGGUGGCAAGCCCAAGAGUCCUGCGAACAGCGGUUUGGCCACUUGGCCCUGGGACCCCUAGAUGAAGUUUCCGCUCCGCUGCUGCGCGACUCCAUCUGGGUGGGCCAGAGAGAGGCCUCUUUAAGGAGACCCCCGCAGAGGCGUGAGUGGGGGCCUGGGGCGAGGCGGGGGCUCUGACGCCCUUCAGAGAUGGGAGCCCACGUGACAGUCCUUGUGGAAAGCGCCCAAAGUGACACCUCGCUGUACUUCCAGGGUCCUUCACGUGGACUGGAAGUAGGGGUGACCCUUGGGACACAGAACCUGGGAACCCCCGUUUCUUUUUUCCCCGAGGUGGGAGGCACCCCAGAUCUCAGGAGGGGCCCCGCAGAGGUGCCAGAUCGCACUCAGCAGCAAAGCGAGGUGUGCGGCUGGGGAAACUGAGGGCCCGGGCCGUGUGUCCCCGCAGGCGCACGCACCUCCGCCGCGCUGGUGUUCGGCCGGCGGAGCGCGGAC
rnacentral:lncRNA from 1 species